rnacentral:rRNA from 1 species
GAUGAACGCUGGCGGCGUGCUUAACACAUGCAAGUCGAACGGAAACAUAUUGAAACCUAGUGAUAUAUGUUUUAGUGGCGGACGGGUGAGUAACGCGUGGGUAACCUGCCUUGUACUGGGGGAUAACAGUUAGAAAUAGCUGCUAAUACCGCAUAAGACCACAGUUUCGCAUGAAACAGAGGUAAAAACUCCGGUGGUACAAGAUGGACCCGCGUCUGAUUAGCUGGUUGGUGAGGUAACGGCUCACCAAGGCGACGAUCAGUAGCCGGCCUGAGAGGGUGGACGGCCACAUUGGGACUGAGACACGGCCCAAACUCCUACGGGAGGCAGCAGUGGGGAAUAUUGCACAAUGGGGGAAACCCUGAUGCAGCGACGCCGCGUGAGUGAAGAAGUAUUUCGGUAUGUAAAGCUCUAUCAGCAGGGAAGAAAAAUGACGGUACCUGACUAAGAAGCCCCGGCUAACUACGUG